CCCAGGAUGGCCGAGUGGUUAAGGCGUUGGACUUAAGACCCAAUGGAGAACUGUCCAUGUGGGUUUGAACCCCAUUCCUGGUA
rnacentral:tRNA from 1 species